AGAGAUGGAUACCUGGAGAAGAGUGAAGAAAAUAACCUUUGGAGAAGAUAGCAGAGAAAAACCCUAGGGAGAAGAAGAAGAAAAGAGCGUUUGAUUUUUUUUUUCGUAGAACGCGUGCUUAGCCUAUAAUUAAGCGUGUAUUAUCUAAACCGGACUGUGUGGAUUGUAUUAGUUAGUGAGGUAAGGAGAGUAUUAAAAGCCCAACCCGUAUAAAAUAGUCGGGUAAUUAAAUAAUACAAGUUGACACCAAACACCUGAUAUAGACUAUUUACUCCUAUCCAAAGUCUAAUACGGUAUACCAAACGAGCCCGUUUUUAAUAUUU
rnacentral:lncRNA from 1 species